GACGAACGCUGGCGGCGUGCCUAAUACAUGCAAGUAGAACGCUGAAGAGAGGAGCUUGCUCUUCUUGGAUGAGUUGCGAACGGGUGAGUAACGCGUAGGUAACCUGCCUUGUAGCGGGGGAUAACUAUUGGAAACGAUAGCUAAUACCGCAUAACAAUGGAUGACACAUGUCAUUUAUUUGAAAGGGGCAAUUGCUCCACUACAAGAUGGACCUGCGUUGUAUUAGCUAGUAGGUGAGGUAAUGGCUCACCUAGGCGACGAUACAUAGCCGACCUGAGAGGGUGGUCGGCCACACUGGGACUGAGACACGGCCCAGACUCCUACGGGAGGCAGCAGUAGGGAAUCUUCGGCAAUGGGGGCAACCCUGACCGAGCAACGCCGCGUGAGUGAAGAAGGUUUUCGGAUCGUAAAGUUCUGUUGUAAGUCAAGAACGGGUGUGAGAGUGGAAAGUUCACACUGUGACGGUAGCUUACCAGAAAGGGACGGCUAACUACGUG
rnacentral:rRNA from 1 species